GGGAAUUCGAUGGGGAAAGGGAUAUUUGCAAAAAUAUUUCUUUUUCCAUAGGAAAGUCCGGACACCGUAGAGCAUGAUUCCAUAUGAAAGUAUGGGGAGUGAAUAUGAGAAUAUUCAUUCACGGAGAGUACAACAGAAAAUAUACCGCCGCAAGGUAAGGGUGAAAAGGUAGAGGUAAGAGCUCACCGGGUAUUGAGUAAUCGAUAUCGCUUUGGAAACCCAAUCAGGUGCAAGACAGAAUAAGGAAUGGAGUAGCUCGCUCAAUGAUUCCGGGUUAGUCGCACCUCUUUUUGAGGAAUAACUUACAAAAGUUAUUAGAUAAAUGAAUUCCAAGCUAUUUAGCUUACAAAAUCUGGCUUAUAUCU
rnacentral:RNase_P_RNA from 1 species